UUUAUUUUUAUCUAAUUAAGAUAUUUUUGGAUUUUUCUUGAGGCUUCUUUGACUCAUGGGUUAUUUUAAAAUGCUUUUUAAACCUCCCUAUAUUUUUGGAUUUCUCUACUAUAUUUGCCUUACAGAGUUCUAAUUUAAUUUUGUUGUAGUCUGAAAACAUUAUUUGUAUGAUUUCUAUUCUUUUAAAUGUAUUAAGGUGUGUCUUAUGGCCCAGAAUAUGGUCUACCUCGGAGAAUAUUUCAUGUGAGCUUGAGAAGCAUGUGCAUUCUGCUGCUGGAUGUAAUAUCCUACAAAUGUUCAGUAGAUCACACUGACUGAUAGUGCUGUUCAGGUCACCCUUAUUCUUUCUGAUUUUCUCCCUGCUUGUUCUAUCACAUGCUGAUAGAGACCUGUUGCAGUCUCCAGCUACAGUUAUGGAUUUGUCUAUGUCACCUUGCAGUUUUAUCAGCUUUUGCCUCGUGUAUUUUGAUAUUCUAUUAUUAGGAACAUAAACUUUUAGGAUUGUCAGUGUUUCUUGGAGAAUUGACCACUUUGUCACAUGUAAUGCCCUUUUCAUCCCUGAUGACAUUCCUUGUCCUGAAGCCUGCUUUGUCUAAAAUUAAACAGGUGCUCCAGCUUUCUUUUGAAUUGUGUUAGCAUGUCCUAUAUAUCUCCAGCUAUGGGCUUGGACCAUGGCAGACAUCGGAUUGGCCCCCAGGAGUCCUCACUGUGGCCCAGAACGCUCUGGAAGUAUACACACUCUUGGCCCACACAUGUGCAGUACAUACCCCCGCCCUGGCUUCGGUCAGUCCUGCCCCUGUGUGUCCUUUGGCCCAGAGCCUGGUCCCCACAGCUGGCUGUGCCUUUGGGGUGAGACUUCAGCGCACUGUGAUUCUGACUGAGGGUUGGGAGGCCUUGACAAUGAUUGGGGUUUGCUUGAAAGAUGGCAUGGACCAGACUGCAUACUCCCAAGUCUGGAAUAAGGGCCUCUGGCAACUGGGGCGCCCAGGUGUUUCCAUCCAAGGACUCUCCAUCCUCUCCCCAACCCCUCACCCCACCCCAGGAACUCCUGAGAUCAGGAGACAUCGGGCUCGUUCUGGAAUGAAUGCUCCUGGCAGCAUCUUGGGCAUUCUCUGCUGUCCUCUUAGCUGCUCCUGACACUGAGCACAUCCCAGCCUAUUCUCUGCCUGAGCCUCUACCUGGACCUGCACUUUACUCCCCACCCGUACACAGCCACAUUCACAAAGUGCAUCCUGAGAGCUUCGCAUGUGCCCCCUUCCCUUCCUGAGAGACUUCACAAAGAGCAAAAAAGAAAAAAAUGUACCAAGUACUCCUAGGUACUCCUCAGAGAGAUUUUCCCUCUUGAGCUCUUUUGUCUGCAGUCUGCUGUGAUUAUACUGGACCCCUACUGGUGUGAUGGCAAGUGGCGGGGGAGGAGGGUGUUCUACUACUGUAUGAUUCAGUCUCAGCCUAUGACUUUGUUAAGUUCACAGAUGUUUCCCUGGCGGAAUUGCUUCCCCUCUUGCCCUCUACCCCAACCCCUGGCUGCAGAGUUUCCAGUCUACUUCCAUGACAGCCUGGCCACUGUUGACUAUGUUAUUAUGGUUAUGAUUUUUAUUUUUCUUUCUUAGGUGAGACAGGAAGGCUGCAGGAGCUGGGACUAGGUUUGAGAACUGUGCUCUGACAAAGUCCUUUCCUCUGGAGUGUAGGUCUUUGUUACUGAGAAGGCUCUUGGCUUAUUUCACAGUGGUGAUGCUGCCCCUUCCCUGGCCAGGUCCAUGAGGGAAUCUUUCUUGAAUCCUCGUGGUGAGACUCUGGUGGCUUUCGGGGUCCCUCUUAGACUAUGGUUCCCAUGAGUUUCUCACGCUUAGCCCACAGUUAUGUUCAGCAAUUCAUCCAGCUCACCAUUUAGGUGUUCCUAUUAGUUGAUGGCCUCAGAGCUUCUGCUCCAGGUGAGGAGAUAUUGGUUGCUGUAGCUGUCUGGAUGUGUCUGUCUCUGCAGAUUUUGCAGUGGAGGUCUGCCUUGUGACCUCAGUUCUCUGAUACAUCCAAGGAAAGUCACUGAUUUUUAGUCUGUUCAGUUUUUUCUUGUUGUAAUCAUGGCCACUGCCAAGCUCUUUCUAUGUUGGCAUUAAACCUGGAAGUCCUUCCCCACAUACUUUUAGUAUAUGUAUUUUCUACUGUCUUGGUUUCUGGCCUGUUUCUUUGUCCUGAUUUUGUGAUGCUUCACUAGGGCGGCCUGACAUUGGAUUCUGACCCAUCUGACUCUCUCUGUUCCAUACUUAUUUUUGUCCCACUUUCACGGGCCACAGAUCCACGUGACAAAAUAUUUAUUGUCUUGAAAAUUGAGCACAAAUAAAAUAUAGAAUACAAUCUGAAGAUUCGUAUGAGAUCAUAUGAUCAUACUCAGUUUCCCUGACUGUUCAGAUCAACAUCAGGCCUUAUCAAAUUUUUAGUCCAAAAAGAAGCAAAAGGUAGUAAAGAGACAUACCAUCUCAAGCCACAAGAAGAAAAUAAUGUGUCAAGUCUACACAGUCAGCACAAACUAAGUCAGAGGAACUGUCAGUAACACCCAUCCAUCCCAGAAUACAGUCUGAGGCACCAGACUUCAUGACUUUUUUUGGAUGAUGCUAAAAUGGAAUAAAUGCAAGUCAAAGGAAAGUGUUUCCCUGGUUACAUGUAUUCAGUAUAAAUUUAUUUUAAGGAUUAGUUGCACAGGAGGUAAAUGAGAAUCAGAAGAAUGCAUGGGUAAGAGGAAACAAGGCACUAACAGCAUGAUCAGGGUGUAUAUAUACAUACAAAUGUUAGGCUUCAAUGGAAGAAAACACAAUGCAAAGCAAGAUAAACAAAACAGAAUGGCAACUUGAGAAAGGAGGUCCACACAUCCUGAGGGCCCGUUACACAGUGCUAGUUAUAUGCUUUCAUAAAUGUGUGAAAGAGUCACUUUAACAUGAACAAUGGACCCAAGUCAGAGUAGCCCUAUAGCUUCUUCACUCCAUAUGGCCAUAAACCAGAACAUUGCAAAGCUUUUCUAAAUAGAUCGUUGAACAAUUUCUUCUAAAACUCUAAACUCUUUCUCUUUACAUGUUAAUAGAAGCAGUGUUGAAGUUGAACAUUUCUAUUAAGUUAGACUAAGAAACAAUCCAUUACUGCCCAAGACCUGUUACCAUCACUUCCAGAUUAGGGAACAUCGUUAAUAAUAACCACCAGUUAUUAUUGUAAGAAUCCCAUGUCAUUUAAGCUUCAAGAAAAGAUGGUGUCUAGACAGGAACCAAAAAAGACAGAGAUGAUCUCUUUCACUCGAGUUCUCAGCAGUGACCUGAAUUAUUUGAGAGCUCAUAAUGUUCUGAUACAUUAAAAAUAAUGCCCCAAACUCUACAACACACAGUUAAGUAUAGCAUAUAAAUGUUAUUGUUUAAAAUGUCAAACAUCAUGAUAUAACAUCUUUUUUGGGGAAUAGUGCCUCUUGGAUAUGUAUCCAUUUUACAUCUCUAUUGAAGAGUUGAAAAGGACAAAUGUCACACGAAGGAUGGAAUAAUUACAUUUUGUUCCUGUAUGUAGUGAAUAGUUUGUACUAUAUGCAAUGUUGAUUUUACCUGAGAUAUCAAAUAUCACCCCCAGUCUAAGUUGUGCACAAUAUUAAAAGUACAGUGGACAAUCUUUCCUAUAUAAUACCUAGUCAUCCCACUUACAAUUUCUAAAUUUAUGAUGAUUCAUUUUAGUUACAUUUCUUAGCGCUCUCAAUGGUCCAUGCAAUUUAGGAUUUAGAAUGCCAGCCUCUCUCAGUAUUGAGAAAGAGGGCCAGAUGGCGGGGAAGGAGGGUGGGGUGCGGAGCUGAGCAGAACGUUCACAGUAUAUCCUUUGUGGCAUUUUUACUUUAGAUUAUUUUGCUGACAGUGAGGUGGCUGUAGUUAGACUGAGUGAAAUGGAUUAGUUCUGCUAAUGGCCUUAAUAUUUAUUGUUUUGGACAUCAAGCUCUAUCUAUUUAGGUCUCUGAAAUAGAAUUACAUUUGUUAAAAAACUAUAAACUUCAGAAACAGCAGGCUACCUAAAACAUAUGUUUUAAUGGAUAUUGGAACAAGAAAGGAACUUAUUAAGUCAAGUGACAUUGGCUGAACAGCGCGAGACUGGAUAUACCUACUUCAUGACUUGAAAUGCAUACUUUUCCUUAAAUGGUCUUCUGUGGAAAGCCACACAGCCUUUUGCCAUCAGAGUGCCCUCCUGGCACUGCUGUGUAUCAAAAGUAAUUAAAAGGAGGCCAGAACAAGAGCCAAGAGAUACCGGGUGCCCUGUACUCAUGUCUUUUCAAUGUCAAGCAUUCAGCUUUCUCUGCUCUCAGAAGAUCCUUUAUGACUCGUGUUGGGUUCCUUGACCACUGCCUUCUUCCAACCUGAUAUGGAAACUGUGACCAUCUUCGUCCGCCGGUCUAAAUCUGGAUGGAAAGCUGACCGAGUCAGUUUCAGAAGGAGCCGAAGGAUGUCUUUGGUUCAUAGCAGUCACUCCCUCACAAUGAAAAAGUCACAUGUGUAUUAAAGAACACAAUUUCUGAAGGGAGAAAAAUGCUUGCAAAGCAUAGAGGCAUCUUCAGUCAAAAACCUACAAGCUCGAGUGAGCUGGAUACACGCCUAUGACCACUCUACUUACUCCACUGGUGCUGGCUUUAUGGCCUUCCAGCAGACCGGUUCAGUAAGUUUUCAUCUUUGGUUUCUGCAGAACAUUUAUCUGCUUGUCUAUGCCGAGUAUAUUAGGUUAAUGUAAAUUCUCCUACCUGGUCAUUCAGCAAUUUUGACUUGGCUGCAAUUUUAAGUACAGUUAGAGGAGUAUGCUAGAAUAAAUCUCCAAAAAUGUAUCAUGAAAUCUUUUACACCAUUAUUCUCAUUGUGAUGAGAUUGGGUUAAGGACAUGGGAAGGAAAUUUCUCUCUGACUCUUUUUUAUGACAUUAUUUUCUGAAUGAACCGGCCCAAGGUUAUGCCUGAUCUUUGGGACCCCCCCUCAGUUACACUCACUGGUAAUGAUCACAAGCAAACAGUGUUCUGGAAACUACUUCAUGCAGGAAUCGUGUCUCCCACCAAAGAGACACAAGAGCAGACUCAUCUAAUUAGCAGAAUCCCCCCGGACCCGCUGUCUGUGCUUCUGGCACAUUAAUAAAGCUGAGACAUAUACCAGGACCCCUGAGGAUCUGUCCCCCUAAGUUCCAUGUAGAAACUUGUGGUCUGUAAGCAACAACUCGACCGAGUGAGCCACGAGAGGCUUGCUUUGAGCGUGGCACCACUGGGAGCUGUGCUCAAAUGGUCUCAGCUGGGAGUUGCUCUGGUGUGUUUCACUAGCGGCAUUUCAAAAGCAAACGCCACGUGCUAAAGUAAUUCAGAGGUGUUCAACCCUGAAGGCUGGGAUUUCAGGGAAGGCUGUAUCAUCGUCAGGAACCAGUCAUCCGCUAUUCUGCUGUGUCAGCAAAACUCACAGUGCAGAGCAUUUGAGUAAUUUUCUUUUUAUCCCUGAAAGCUUAGGAUAAUUAUUUUUCACAGCCACAUUAACUCUUAUGAUUAGCAUCUUGAGGGCAUUUUCAGACUUAUCUGAGUUGUGGAAAAUCUAGGCAGUUGAUAUAAGUGCAAAUUUAUCACGGAGGGACUGAAUACCUCUUUUACCACUAGUAACUCUCCACAAUGAAUUGUGACUCUGCAUUCAAGCUAUGGACAUGGAUGAAAAAAAAGCUUUAUCACAGAUCAGCAAAAAAGGUACCCUUUCAACAGACUAACUUUGAAAGCUUAAAAAAUUUUCGAUAUUGAAAAAAAAAUCAGGUUUCCAUCUUACAUGACCUGGGCUCGCUGUUCUUUAAAUCCACCUUCGGAGUAUUUAUGAGCUGACCAUCUUAGGCACGUGGCAUCAGAUAAUUCGGGCAGAAUGAUUUUUAUUUUUACUUGAGUAAACUCCAAAACUAAGGGCAAAAAUAUCUAUGUUGACCCAAAUUAGCCAAACUUCCCCAGUUCACGUGGAAAUCACCACGUCCCUUUAAAUCUAGUAGGUUUGUCAUUAGUCUCAGGAAUGAAAAAAACUUCUUUUUUUGGGGGGUCUAUUUUCUCUUAUAAUCCCAGCCAACCCAUAUCCAGUAAAAGGAAAGUAAAGCCCAGCCAAUCCUGGUUACACAGUAAAUUACAAGCCCCUGAUGGCUCUCUGGGAACAGCAUCUGUGACACAUAAAUGAUACCUACAGUCCUGUCCCUAUUGUUGGUCUCCUGACUGCAAAAUGUCUGAUUUCAUUUAAAGUGUACUUUUAUCUCUUUCUUAAACAGAUUGUCAUUUAGAGUCCUUCUUUUCCUUGAGGUUAAAUGAAAGCCAAUCGAGGAUCACACCCAAUCUUCCCCACGUAGCUCAGAGGGGGCCAAAGGGAGAAACAUCGUCACCAACAAGGGAUUACUGAACAGAAAGACAGUGCAGUGACGUGACGUGCAGGACAGCCAGACUGGUUCUUUCGUUUCCAAAGUGGUCCCCCUUUUCCCAUCGUCACCUAUGUUUCUCACAGGAGCAGACAUGACUACAUAAAUACUUUGCUAAUAAGAAGCCUUUUUUUUUUUACAGCACUAUUUUAAAAAUAGCUAUUCAACAUAACAACCUUAAUUUUAAUGCACCAAAUAACAGUUUUCAACAAUUUAAGUGAGCAUAUGCUGUCACGCUCAGCACACAUUGAUAUAUACUUGUUAGAUAUAGAUGGAUGCAGCAAUAUCCAUAUCCAUAUUUGUCUACAGACACACACACAACACACACACACAGAGCACACACACAGAAUAGAGCUACAAGGCCCUGCUUAAGAGUGUGUUCUAAAUUUCGUGGGCGUGUUCCCUUGUCACUGGGCUUAUUUAUAUGGAAAGUUGUGAUGCCAUUUGUAGAGCUUACUGGAUUUGUCCCUGUCGAAACCCUCCAAGCCACAGAACUUGUGGUGGGUCACCUUUCUGUCUAAGGACAGACCUCUCCUCAGGUGGGAGGACUGAGCCAGGAGGACAGGGGCAAUGCCUUCACCCAGGUAUAGUCCAGCGUGGGCGACUUCUCACCCUGCCCAGGCUUCUGCUACCGUCAGACUCAAAGGAUUUUGUUUAAAUGACUGUUCAGAAGAUUUGGAUUCUAUUUUUGUAAAACAUAGACUCCCUCGCAAGAAACUCAAUAAAUAAAGGACUUAGCCACAGAAUCAAGGAAGCAGAACUCCAGUUUUUAACCUUCCACUGGGAGCGGGGAUAGACCCGACCCAUUUCAAUGUUCCCUGCAAUUGGUCCUCCGCGAGGCAGAGGGCGUGAUGGCCCCCAGGCAGGUCCGGACAGACUGUCUCUCUGGUCUCAGCAUCUCUCUGGGUGUCAUUGGAUGAGGCUGGAGCUGUAGCUGAAGCCGUAGCUGCUGGACCGGGACAAGGACGGCUGUGUCUCUUCGGUCUGCUCCGAGGCGUAGCUGGGAAAUGUCUGUGCGCGUGACAUCUUUGAGGACCCGAACCCGUGACCUGGAGAGAGAAAAAGGAAGGAGAGCUGUACCAAGAAACUGACUCCGAAAAGUGCGAGGUUUGUUGCCGAAUCGCCAGAAGCAGGGUCGGGCCUUAUGGACAACGUGGGAUGUAUUGGCUGCUGUGGACCCACAGUGACUGAUUCACCUGACAACAUGUAGAUGAAAUCCUGGGAAGAUGGGAGCAUGAACACGUGCAAGCUCCUUUUUACCACUGGUGCAGAUUUCUCUGUGUGUGUGUGUUACUUGCUACAGGAGGCUUUUAUUAACUUUGCGAUUUGGAAAACAUCAUAUCAUGAAAAUUUAAACAGAAGAUCUCAAUGGAAGCAAUCUAAAAACCAUGCGAUCUUGAAAUUAAACAGGCAGUAAAGGACAGAGGGUCAGAGCUGAGCAAAGAGUGAGUAAAUCCUUUGAUUUACCUCCUUCAUCUCCGCCAGAACUCUAUUUACCGUUUU